UACGUAGGGUGCAAGCGUUGUCCGGAUUUAUUGGGCGUAAAGAGCUCGUAGGCGGUCUGUCGCGUCGGAUGUGAAAACCCAGGGCUCAACCCUGGGCCUGCAUUCGAUACGGGCAGACUAGAGUACGGCAGGGGAGACUGGAAUUCCCGGUGUAGCGGUGAAAUGCGCAGAUAUCAAGUGGAACACCAGUGGCGAAGGCGAGUCUCUGGACAUUUCCUGACGCUGAGGCACGAAAGCCAGGGGAGCAAACGGG
rnacentral:rRNA from 1 species